rnacentral:rRNA from 1 species
UAGGGAAUCUUCCGCAAUGGACGAAAGUCUGACGGAGCAACGCCGCGUGAGUGAAGAAGGCUUUCGGUUCGUAAAACUCUGUUGUUAGGGAAGAAAAAAUGUAUAGUAACUAUAUACAAAAGAGAUGGUACCUAACCAGAAAGCCACGGCUAACUACGUGCCAGCAGCCGCGGUAAUACGUAGGUGGUAAGCGUUGUCCGGAAUUAUUGGGCGUAAAGCGCGCGCAGGUGGUUUAGAAAGUCUGAUGUGAAAGCCCACGGCUCAACCGUGGAGAGUCAUUGGAAACUAAUAAACUUGAGUGCAGGAGAGGAAAGUGGAAUUCCUAGUGUAGCGGUGAAAUGCGUAGAGAUUAGGAGGAACACCGGUGGCGAAAGCGGCUUUUUGGCCUACAACUGACACUGAGGCGCGAAAGCGUGGGGAGCAAACAGG